UACAGAGGUCUCAAGCGUUGUUCGGAUUCAUUGGGCGUAAAGGGUGUGUAGGUGGCGCCGUAAGUCGGGUGUGAAAUUUCGAGGCUUAACCUCGAAACUGCAUUCGAUACUGCGGUGCUUGAGGACUGGAGAGGAGACUGGAAUUCAUGGUGUAGCAGUGAAAUGCGUAGAGAUCAUGAGGAAGACCAGUGGCGAAGGCGGGUCUCUGGACAGUUCCUGACACUGAGACACGAAGGCCAGGGGAGCAAACGGGG
rnacentral:rRNA from 1 species